GACAGGGCUGUGUCAAUAACUCAAUAUUAAAUUUCUAGUGAGGGACAGAAGCCUGAUUUGAAAGAAGUUUGACAUUGAAGCCCAUAGGUACAUUGUAGGAACCCAAUGGGCUGAGGAGUAUCUGGGUUUUUCUUUCUAUGAUGGUGGAAACUGGCUGUUGUAAUCCAAAAGAUAAGGGCAAAAAUAGCAGAAUUCUUGGCCAGUUUGGGCUAUGUGAGUGAGACCAUGGUGGACACAUGGUGGUGUUUGGGAGGCAGAGGGAGGUGGACACCCACGAAUUCAAAGACAGCCUGGUAUAGAGAGCCAGGUCAGCCACCAGCCACGGGUUCAUAGUGAAACCCUGCCUUGAAGCAGAAGAGAAGAAAAGAAGAAAAAGAUAGUAAGAGCAGUUAAGGAAGACCAGAGUGACUACCUUCUGGUCAGAAAAGGACCAACUCACAGCUGUGGUUGCCUGCUCAGGAUCAAGCCAGUCAAGAUUCUAGCCAGAAGGCCUAGUAUGUGCCAGACACUAUCCUGGACCCCCGAACAUCAGAAAUGAAAGCUCCCCUUUCUGUGGUAGCGGGCUGUGUAGGAAGCAUACCACAGACCAUGUACUGAAGAAAUCAGAGGGAGACUGAUGGAGCUGCAGAGAGAAAUGGAGAGCAAACACUCAGCUGGGACCUGGGCUUCACUUGGAGGAAGUGGAACUGCUCCAAAACCAGCCACAGACGAAUUUGAAAGGGCAUUCUGUCUGGGCAGGAAAGAGAGAAACGGAUCCCUGGUUGCCGCCACACUUAACUCUGAGUGGUGCCCCCAUCUGGUGCAGCGGGGAAAUGCAGGUUUCCAUCCAGAGUCACCUAGCUACUUACUCCAUCAUCAGUCUUGUGCUGGUGGGGGCAGGGCAAGCCAUACAAUAUCUCAGUCAGGGGUGGGAAAUCUGGAAUCACUCAUCACUCAUCAAGAGUGACUCAAUUGUCCCACCCUUAGCUAAGACCCGUUGCCACCUUAAUAAGGUAAGUAAGGAAUGAGCUUUAGGGGGCCUAAGUUCCUGGCUGCCUCAGCCCUCUGCCCUAAGAAAGGCAGAUGAAAAGGACAUGUUUUACAUGUGGCUCUUCACUGAACAAGGGAGUCAUCAGAGAGUGCUCAUUGCCAUGGGUACACAUGGAGGGUGGUUUAAGAGGACAAGAGGAUCAGAGAAAGGGCUGUUGAGUUGGACCAAGGAAAAAUGGCACUACCACGUGAGGCCUCCGAGUCUGUAAGAUGGAGGAGAUGAUGCAGGGGGUCAUCUAAGUUGGGUUCUGAAGGGUUCUCCAAAAUGCGAAGUUUGGAAGUCAGUGAUAUAAGCAAAGCCUCUCUCUCUCUCUCUCUCUCUCUCUCUCUCUCUCUCUCUCUCUCUCUCUCUGUGU